AUACGGAGGGUGCAAGCGUUAUUCGGAAUCACUGGGCGUAAAGGACGCGUAGGCGGGUUGGCAAGUCAGAUGUGAAAUCCUACAGCUUAACUGUAGAACUGCAUUUGAAACUGCUAACCUAGAGUAUGGGAGGGGGAGAUGGAAUUAGUGGUGUAGGGGUAAAAUCCUAGAUAUCACUAGGAAUACCGAAAGCGAAGGCGAUCUCCUGGAACAUAACUGACGCUAAGGCGUGAAAGCGUGGGGAGCAAACAGGAUUAGAUACCCUAGUAGUCC
rnacentral:rRNA from 1 species